GACGAACGCUGGCGGCGUGCCUAAUACAUGCAAGUAGAACGCUGAAGGAGGAGCUUGCUUCUCCGGAUGAGUUGCGAACGGGUGAGUAACGCGUAGGUAACCUGCCUGGUAGCGGGGGAUAACUACUGGAAACGAUAGCUAAUACCGCAUAACAGUAGAUGUUGCAUGACAUUUGCUUAAAAGGUGCAAUUGCAUCACUACCAGAUGGACCUGCGUUGUAUUAGCUAGUUGGUGAGGUAACGGCUCACCAAGGCGACGAUACAUAGCCGACCUGAGAGGGUGAUCGGCCACACUGGGACUGAGACACGGCCCAGACUCCUACGGGAGGCAGCAGUAGGGAAUCUUCGGCAAUGGACGGAAGUCUGACCGAGCAACGCCGCGUGAGUGAAGAAGGUUUUCGGAUCGUAAAGCUCUGUUGUAAGAGAAGAACGAGUGUGAGAGUGGAAAGUUCACACUGUGACGGUAUCUUACCAGAAAGGGACGGCUAACUACGUG
rnacentral:rRNA from 1 species